UACGUAGGGUGCAAGCGUUGUCCGGAAUUAUUGGGCGUAAAGAGCUCGUAGGCGGUCUGUCACGUCGGCUGUGAAAACCCGAGGCUCAACCUCGGGCCUGCAGUCGAUACGGGCAAACUAGAGUACUGCAGGGGAGACUGGAAUUCCUGGUGUAGCAGUGAAAUGCGUAGAUAUCAAGCGGAACACCGGUGGCGAAGGCGAGUCCCUGGACAGCACCUGACACUGAGGCACGAAAGCUAGGGGAGCAAACAGG
rnacentral:rRNA from 1 species